rnacentral:rRNA from 1 species
AUUGAACGCUGGCGGCAGGCCUAACACAUGCCAGUCGAGCGGAUGAAGGGAGCUUGCUCCUGGAUUCAGCGGCGGACGGGUGAGUAAUGCCUAGGAAUCUGCCUGGUAGUGGGGGAUAACGUCCGGAAACGGGCGCUAAUACCGCAUACGUCCUGAGGGAGAAAGUGGGGGAUCUUCGGACCUCACGCUAUCAGAUGAGCCUAGGUCGGAUUAGCUAGUUGGUGGGGUAAAGGCCUACCAAGGCGACGAUCCGUAACUGGUCUGAGAGGAUGAUCAGUCACACUGGAACUGAGACACGGUCCAGACUCCUACGGGAGGCAGCAGUGGGGAAUAUUGGACAAUGGGCGAAAGCCUGAUCCAGCCAUGCCGCGUGUGUGAAGAAGGUCUUCGGAUUGUAAAGCACUUUAAGUUGGGAGGAAGGGCAGUAAGUUAAUACCUUGCUGUUUGGACGUUACCAACAGAAUAAGCACCGGCUAACUUCGU